rnacentral:rRNA from 1 species
GACGAACGCUGGCGGCGUGCCUAAUACAUGCAAGUCGAACGCUGAAGGAGGAGCUUGCUUCUCUGGAUGAGUUGCGAACGGGUGAGUAACGCGUAGGUAACCUGCCUGGUAGCGGGGGAUAACUAUUGGAAACGAUAGCUAAUACCGCAUAAGAGUAGAUGUUGCAUGACAUUUGCUUAAAAGGUGCAAUUGCAUCACUACCAGAUGGACCUGCGUUGUAUUAGCUAGUUGGUGAGGUAACGGCUCACCAAGGCGACGAUACAUAGCCGACCUGAGAGGGUGAUCGGCCACACUGGGACUGAGACACGGCCCAGACUCCUACGGGAGGCAGCAGUAGGGAAUCUUCGGCAAUGGACGGAAGUCUGACCGAGCAACGCCGCGUGAGUGAAGAAGGUUGUCGGAUCGUAAAGCUCUGUUGUAAGAGAAGAACGAGUGUGAGAGUGGAAAGUUCACACUGUGACGGUAGCUUACCAGAAAGGGACGGCUAACUACGUG